rnacentral:rRNA from 1 species
AUUGAACGCUAGCGGGAUGCCUUACACAUGCAAGUCGAACGGAGUGGCGAACGGGUGAGUAAUGUAUCGGAACGUGCCCAGUAGCGGGGGAUAACUAAGCGAAAGCGUAGCUAAUACCGCAUACUAUUGGAGCGGCAGAUAUCGGAUUAGCUAGUUGGUGGGGUAACGGCUCACAAAGGCGACGAUCCGUAGCUGGUUUGAGAGGACGACCAGCCACAUUGGAACUGAGACACGGUCCAAACUCCUACGGGAGGCAGCAGUGAGGAAUAUUGGUCAAUGGGCGCUAGCCUGAACCAGCCAAGUAGCGUGAAGGAUGAAGGUCUAUGGGUUGUAAAGCACUUUUGGCAGGAAAGCUGUACCUGCAGAAUAAGCACCGGCUAACUACGUGCCAGCAGCCGCGGUAAUAC